GACUUCGUGGCCGAGCAGGUCAAGGCGGUUGCUUGCUAAGCAAUUUCCCUUUGGGAGCGCGCGUUCGAAUCGCGUCGAAGUCG
rfam:Plasmodiophora brassicae isolate e3 genome assembly, contig: scaffold_15